rnacentral:rRNA from 1 species
GAUGAACGCUGGCGGCGUGCUUAACACAUGCAAGUCGAACGGAAAGGCUCCUGCUUGCAGGGGUACUCGAGUGGCGAACGGGUGAGUAACACGUGGGUGAUCUGCCCUGCACUUCGGGAUAAGCCUGGGAAACUGGGUCUAAUACCGGAUAGGACCACAUUUUGGAUGGUGUGGUGGAAAGUCUUUCGGUGUGGGAUGAGCUCGCGGCCUAUCAGCUUGUUGGUGGGGUAAUGGCCUACCAAGGCGUCGACGGGUAGCCGGCCUGAGAGGGUGUACGGCCACAUUGGGACUGAGAUACGGCCCAGACUCCUACGGGAGGCAGCAGUGGGGAAUAUUGCACAAUGGGCGCAAGCCUGAUGCAGCGACGCCGCGUGGGGGAUGACGGCCUUCGGGUUGUAAACUCCUUUCGCUAGGGACGAAGCGCAAGUGACGGUACCUGGAGAAGAAGCACCGGCUAACUACGUG